GCUGCCUCGGCAGGAGACAGGGAACAGGAGGGGAACACGAGGGGAAAGGGCGUGUGUGUGUCAUGGCAAAGAGAAGACAGAGCAGGCAGUGGCUACAGGGCCUUGUGGGGAGCUGGGCCAGCCGGCCCGGGAGCUGCCAUGGCUCCCCAGGAGGGGACGGCCAUCCUGCGUGAGCUGCGGGCUGAGGGGAGAAAGGAGGGCAGCUGCUUGAAGGAGGGUAAUUUCACAGGCUGACAUAUUGUUUUUCCUCAGUUUUGCUAUUUUUGCUGGAUGGUGAUGGGAGGAGUCAGAGGUGAGCUGUAGGAUUCCCUGGGCCUCCCACCAGCAGCAGGAAGCCCCAGGAUCCCAUUCAGCUUUAUCCUUCCUAAGCAAAGCACCUGCAUGCUUGCCUUUCUAAUACCUUUUCUUUCCCCCAGUGAAGUAACUUGGAUUUUUUUAAUGUUUACUCACUUCCUAAUUUGCAAGGAUUAAUUAAUUCACAAUGGCUCUCUCAGUCAUGGCUGUGAAUUAGCAAAUCAUUAGUGUGCCAAGAGCCCUCUCACAUGCUGUAUUUAAUCCGUGUGUCUAAGAGCUUAGGAAAAUCCUGCUCCCUCUGCUCAGGGAUUUCUCUGCAGUGUGCAGGGAUGGUGAUUGCACUGAACCCAUUUCUGGCCUGGUCUCUUUUCCAAUGGUCAUUUGUAGAGCAGUAGUGUCUAUCCUCCAGGAGCUGAUAUUGAAUCCCCUUAACAGUGCUCGCCUUUAGCUCCUCCUCUUCUCUCCUCAGUACCCUGAUUAUUAUGUUUAAACUUGAAUGGUUUUAGCCUAAGUAUGGGUUAACGAUUUGAACUCAGAUAUACACACCCUUUCCAUGUUGGCUUUGAAAUCAACUAUUCCCAGCUCACAAGUGGGAUAAAUGAGCUGCCAAAAUUUUGCUGACCACAUGCUGUGAGUCGAGGUCCCAUCACCUCGCACAGGCACCACGACCUCUCCUGCUUCAGGUCCAGUGCUGCUGCAUCUUGUACAUCUUCCUACAAGAGCAACACACAGCUGAUGGAGACCCCCCAAGAGGUCAGAGGCAGCUCUGCCCCCCGACAUCUGAGGGAACUGUGACGUGUGGAGCUCAGAGCAGCAACAGGCAGGAAAGCACCAAGAAACCCAACCCAAACCCUCCCCAGCAGCGAGACAGGGGGAUGUGGAGACAGGUAAUCAAGAAGAAGCUGAAGAUAGAAGCUGUUGGCUCACGAGAAGCUUAUGGACAUUUUGGGAAAGCAGGUCCCACCUGGCUGCAUGCCGGUGCUGCAUCAGACCUCCUGGGGCAAGGUUUCACCUCGUGGCUUGUAAGAAAUUCAUGACCUAUUCCAUUAAAAAUGUAUUUUCUGCUUUAAA